ACGGAGGGGGCUAGCGUUGUUCGGAAUUACUGGGCGUAAAGCGCACGUAGGCGGAUUGAUAAGUCAGGGGUGAAAUCCCGAAGCUCAACUUCGGAACUGCCUUUGAUACUGUCAGUCUAGAGUCCGAGAGAGGUGAGUGGAAUUCCUAGUGUAGAGGUGAAAUUCGUAGAUAUUAGGAAGAACACCAGUGGCGAAGGCGGCUCACUGGCUCGGUACUGACGCUGAGGUGCGAAAGCGUGGGGAGCAAACAGG
rnacentral:rRNA from 1 species